AAUAAUUCGGUAGGUGAGGUUACCACAGGGAUCGGGAUUUUCCUAAGAUUGCUGCCGCAAAUUUGUGGAGACACAACGCGCUGGUUAGCAGGCUAUGUCGUAAAGGCAUAACCUAAUGCAAUUUCAUACGCCCUGUGAUGCUAAAGCUUGGACGAUGGAUG
rnacentral:sRNA from 1 species